rnacentral:rRNA from 1 species
GGAAUUGUUCGCAAUGGGCGCAAGCCAGACGACGCAAUGCCGCGUGGAGGAUGAAGACUUUCGGGUCGUAAACUCCUUUCGACCGAGAUGAACGUCCAUCGGCUUAAUACACCGGUGGAGUGACAGCAUCGAGGGAAGAAGCCCCGGCUCACUCCGUGCCCGCAGCCGCGGUAAUACGGGGGGGGCGAGCGUUGUGCGGAAUUACUGGGCGUAAAGGGUUUGUAGGUGGCCUACCAAGUCAGACGUGAAAUCCCCCGGCUCAACCGGGGAACUGCGUCUGAAACUGGUGGGCUUGAGUGCAGGAGAGGAACGCGGAAUUCCAGGUGUAGCGGUGAAAUGCGUAGAUAUCUGGAGGAACACCGGUGGCGAAGGCGGCGUUCUGGACUGUUACUGACACUGAGGAACGAAAGCCAGGGGAGCAAAC